UCGACCGAGUACCCACAAACCAAAAUGGAGGCAUUUUGACGCCCCUUGAUCUCUGUGAUGCAACUGCAUCAAGCCAAGAUGCUCUUCCCGUUGGGUGUCAAAGUUCUCAUGCUAGCGGUUUACCCAUGCCAAAUCCAGGUGCUGUAGGAUCAAUGCUUCCUACUUCUGGGCCAAACUCCUCUGUGCAAGUAUCUUCUGGUGUUGUUCUUGGCAGUAACUCAUCACCUUCUGGUCCACUUAAUGCUCCUAUCAGGGAUGGUAGAUACAGUGUUCAAAGAACAUCUUUACCGGUUGAUGAGCAGCAGAGAUUGCAACAUUAUAAUCAAAUGCUGUCCAACAGAAGUUUGCAGCAGUCUAACUUGCCUGUCUCUGGAGCUCUUUCUGGAGCUGAU
rnacentral:misc_RNA from 1 species